GAAAUCUGAAUAGAACCGUACCAAAUUCAAAUGGGUGCCCGAACACCCAUCCAUAUGUUUGUAUAUCUCAGUCUUGCGAAUAAUAGAUCGAACACAUUAUGGACAAGUUAUAACACAGGCAGAGCACAUAAUUAGGUUAAUAUUUCAUAACUCGUGAUGAUUUCUUUCUUGAGACCUCUGGAUGUAAACAAAUAAGAACGUCCCAGUUUGAAGUUAGCCAAACCGGACUAGUUAAUGGGUUGUGGGUUUACCGGUCCAACUGAUCGAAUCAGGCCAGGUUUCAACCCAUUAUAACCGAGACAAAACAGCACAUCUAUCAAAGGAACAACUUCUAUCAAAAGGAACAACAUAAGGCGAUUUUAGAUGAAAUAAAACAAAGACAAAAAACAUAAGACAAGUUGUUCAAAAAAAAAGAAGACAAAAACAAAAGACAAAAAAGAAGAAUAAAAAGAGAAGGAGGUAGAGAGAUGCAUGUGGUGAGCAUUGCAGAGUGUAUGAGUCUGGUUGGAGUUAUAUUCUCAAGACGCACGCCUUCAAACAUUCUUAACUCUUUAGUAAUUUCCAAACAUUGAAAAAAGGGAGAAUUAGCAAAAGGGACACACUCAAUUUUUAUUUGUCUCAUUAGGACUUUUGAUCUUUUGGUCAUUUUUGAAUACUCUUUUG
rnacentral:lncRNA from 1 species